UUUGUCCUUGCUGAGGUUGCAUUUGUGAUGUAUUUGGUAAUUUCCUUGCUCAUGUCAAUGAAACGUACAAGGCGUGUGGCAACUUAGUGUUUGUCGAGUCUUUGCACGUGUAACACGCUCUAUUUCCUAUGUUCCCCAAGAAUUAUUAAAAUUCCAAUGGCAAGUUUUUAAUACGUCAUUCCAUAGGAGGUGGCGCCAAGUGGUAGUUUGUAAUAAUUGUUAAUUUGCUUGGCGAGUUUGUUCUGCUUGGCGAGUUUGAUUUGCUUGGCGAGUUUUUAGGUUAUGUUGGAUCAUGGAUACUGAUAUGUCUGAAGCUGUAGAAUGUGAGAAGAAGAAAAAAAGUCGUAGGCCGUUCAAACCUCCUCCGAAACGUUCUAGGAAACGUGGUCGUCGUGGCGGCGCAAAAGCUCGUGGGCAGAGGUUAAGGAGGCUGGAGGGAUCGUCUUCCACAGAGGGUAGCAAUAGUAUGGCUCCAGCCCCAUCGUCGAGUCUCGGUGAUCCUUUUGGUUAUUGAUCUAACCUUCUCCGAUGAGGACACCCUUCAGUUGCCGCCAAGUUCUCCUUCGAUCGAAGUGGUUGAUACAGAUGCCUGUGCCAAGGUUCGUUUUUGGGAGGAGAUCCCUGAUCAAGUGUUGGAGGCUUACCUACGCCACCAUUCCUCAGGUCAGGGGGGUACUUGUCCGGACGUACUCUCAUGGUGUUUAAAUAGGUUUCGUGAGAUGUAUCCGGAUGCUCCGUGUGUGGAUUUUGACUUUACUUGGUAACAGUGCCUUAUUUGUUCAUGUGUGUAUAUAUGCCUAAAUGUGUUCCCAGCGGGUGUUAUUUUAUUGGAGUGAUUUUGUCUAUAUUCUUAUAUUUUAUUUACUAAGAUAUGUUUUGUUUUUUGCGUUGAAAACACCGUAAUCACUGGUUGAUACAGCGAACAAUUGUGAACGAAAUAGAUCGAAAGUUGAUAGAGUUGUUUUAUUCCAGACAAUUCAUUAAAUCUUGAGCAAGAACGAUUAUUUCAAUUUUGAAACUAUACUCUCUGAGAACAAUCUGGAUGACAUAGUGAUUUAUUCAAGAUCUCCUCACGAACACGAAAUUAAAUUUAACGAGUUAAUGGAAAUACUAAAGGAAGCCAAAUUGCGAUUGCAACCCGAUAAAUGCGAAUUCCUACGACACGAAGUUAUUUGGGACACAUAAUCAGUGAAGAUGGUGUAAAACCCGAUCCACAGAAGAUCGAAGCCGUAUCGAAAUUUCCACAACCAAAGAAAGCAAAAAAUAUCAAACAGUUUUUGCGACUAGCGGGAUACUACCGAAGAUUUAUACCUAAUUUCUCCAAAAUUGCAAAACCAUUAACACAACUAUUGAACAAAGACAUCCCCUUUAAAUGGUCGGAGAAUCAAGAAAAUGCAUUCAACAAUUUAAAAACAGCGCUAAUGACAAAACCUAUUCUGCAAUGUCCGAAUCUUUCCAAACCCUUUAACUUUACGACAGACGCUUCAGGUUAUGCAAUAAGCGGUGUAAAUAGGAUAAUCAAGAAGACGAAACUUCAGCAGAAGAUAAGCAGCACCCGCGUUUCCUCAGGUAAAAGGGAAUAUGAGAAAUUAAGACACAGCGUAAACAAGACAACCAAAAAAACGAAACCUCAGCUUAAGCUAGCAAUUACGAUAUUCACAUUUUGUCACAAGUUAGUUACCAUUUGGUCAAUUGAAGCGUUUACACCUCCACUCUGUCAGUCUGUCUCAAUUGAAAUCUAUAAGUA